CUUACUAUAUGCAAAGAAGAAGAAAAAUGAGCCAAAUCCUCAAAUUUAUUUAUCCUUUGAUAGUCUUUCUUUAUUUAUUUCUUGUUGUAACCAAUGCCAUCAAUGGUAAUCGUCCAGGCAGACCCCCAACCUAUUAUCCAUUCCCUUGUAAAAAUCAUCGGGAUUGUUCCAAUAAAGCAUGUCACAUUCCUUUAAGACCUCGAUGCAUUUCUUCUUUUUGUGAGUGCGUUCUUCUUUUUGUGAGUGCGUAAAAUUGGAAUGAAAAUGAAAAGAAGUUUUAUGCUACUUCAAAUCGAAUUAUUUUAUUUGUAUGUUAUAAUAUUGGACAGUCGAAGGGAGGAUGGCGAAUCUUGAGAUUAUCACAUAAAUCAUCAAAGAGUUGUAAUGGAAGUUUUUUUGGUGAAUAUGUCAGCAAUUUGGUAGUGGGAAGGAACAUGUAAGACUCGUACCUGACAGUGAGCCACCUUUUCAUGCACAAAAUGUAUGUCCAUCUUGAUGUGUUUUGUGCGAUGAUGUACAACUGACUUACCAGAUAGAUAAACUGCACUCACUUUAUCAUAAUAUACUAGAGUGGUUGUGGUUACGAGGUAAUAGAGUUCCAACAAUAAAUUUAUAAUCCAACAAGAUUCAAGAUUCAUAUAUAACAUUAGCGAUGUCGCGGUACUCAGCUUCUACACUUGACCGAGAAAGUGUGUGUUGGCGCUUGGCAGAUCAUGAGAUGAGAUUGUCCCCAAAAUAAACACAAUCGCUAAAGUUGGAUCACCUGGUGUUUAGAUAACUAGUUUAAUCGACAUCAGUUAGAAUACUAGUUUGUUGAUAGAAGAGGGUUACAAAUGAAGGUCGAAAUCAAGAGUGUCGUGAAUAUACCUAAUAAUACGCUUCAGAGCUUACAUAUGUUGUAUUUUAGGAUCAUGCAUGAAUAGCCAUACCUAUUGUAUUGCAUAAGAAAUAUCAUGUCUUCUGAAAGAUAAAAAUUGUAAUGUACCGGCAAGACUCAAAUAUUGUAUUGGGUCAUGAUAUGGAUUUCUAAAAGAUCCAUUAAGUUU